CAUGCAGUCGAGCGCCGUAGCAAUACGGAGCGGCAGACGGGAGAGUAACACGUGGGAACGUGCCCUUCAGUUCGGAACAACCCAGGGAAACUUGGGCUAAUACCGGAUACG
rnacentral:rRNA from 1 species